rnacentral:rRNA from 1 species
GGAUGCGAUCAUACCAGCACGAAAGCACCGGAUCCCAUCGGAACUCUGAAGUUAAGCGUGCUUGGGCGAGAGUAGUACUAGGAAGUUAAGCGUGCUUGGGCGAGCGUAGUACUAGGAUGGGUGACCUCCUGGGAAGUCCUCGUAUUGCAUUCC